rnacentral:rRNA from 1 species
CAGAGGUCCCAAGCGUUGUUCGGAUUCACUGGGCGUAAAGGGUGCGUAGGCGGUCGGAUAAGUUUGAUGUGAAAUCUCCGGGCUUAACCCGGAAACUGCAUUGAAUACUAUUCGGCUUGAGGUCUGGAGGGGGGACUGGAAUUCUCGGUGUAGCAGUGAAAUGCGUAGAUAUCGAGAGGAACACCAGUGGCGAAGGCGAGUCCCUGGACAGGUCCUGACGCUGAGGCACGAAAGCUAGGGGAGCAAACAGGAUUAGAUACCCUGGUAGUCCUAGCCGUAAACGGUGUGUAUUUGCUGUAAAAGGAAUCGACCCCUUUUGUGGCGUAGCAAACGCGUUAAAUACACCGCCUGGGAAGUACGGUCGCAAGAUUA